CUGGCGGCCGGCGCACGGGUGAGUAACACGUAUCCAACCUGCCGAUAACUCGGGGAUAGCCUUUCGAAAGAAAGAUUAAUACCCGAUGGCAUAAUUAGACCGCAUGGUUUGAUUAUUAAAGAAUUUCGGUUAUCGAUGGGGAUGCGUUCCAUUAGGCAGUUGGUGAGGUAACGGCUCACCAAACCUUCGAUGGAUAGGGGUUCUGAGAGGAAGGUCCCCCACAUUGGAACUGAGACACGGUCCAA
rnacentral:rRNA from 1 species